rnacentral:rRNA from 1 species
UACGUAUGGAGCAAGCGUUAUCCGGAUUUACUGGGUGUAAAGGGAGCGUAGACGGCAUGGCAAGUCUGAUGUGAAAGCCCGGGGCUCAACCCCGGAACUGCAUUGGAAACUGUCGUGCUGGAGUGCAGGAGAGGUAAGCGGAAUUCCUAGUGUAGCGGUGAAAUGCGUAGAUAUUAGGAGGAACACCAGUGGCGAAGGCGGCUUACUGGACUGUAACUGACGUUGAGGCUCGAAAGCGUG